GGUUGUCGCUGGCCCUCGCUCGCGCGAGGCAUGUGCACGCUUCUCGUUUUUCUCUCAACUCACCUGUGCACCUAAUGUAGGAUGCCUCUCCUCCGGGAGGGGGGACCUAUGUCUUCAUAACAUCUUCGUGUAGAAAGUCUUUGAAUGUUUACUAUCAUCGAGUCGCGACUUCUAGGAGACGCGAUUCUUUGAGAUAAAAGUUAUUACAACUUUCAGCAACGGAUCUCUUGGCUCUCGCAUCGAUGAAGAACGCAGCGAAAAGCGAUAUGUAAUGUGAAUUGCAGAUCUACAGUGAAUCAUCGAAUCUUUGAACGCACCUUGCGCUCCUCGGUGUUCCGAGGAGCAUGCCUGUUUGAGUGUCAGUAAAUUCUCAACCCCUCUCGAUUAGCUUCGAGAGGGCGUUUGGAUAGUGGAGGUUGCCGGAGACUUGGAUUCGUCCGAGACUCGGGCUCUUCUGAAAUGCAUCGGCUUGCGGUCGACUUUCGACUAUGUGCGACAAGGCUUUCGGCGUGAUAAUGAUCGCCGUUCGCUGAAGCGCAUGACUGAACGUCCCGUGCCUCUAAUACGUCGACCGCUUAUUAUCUCUCCGGAGAGAACAGGGUCUUCCUAAUUGACUUUUGACCUCAAAUCAGGUAGGACUACCCGCUGAACUUAAG
rnacentral:misc_RNA from 1 species